GAUGAACGCUGGCGGCGUGCCUAAUACAUGCAAGUCGAGCGAACAGACGAGGAGCUUGCUCCUCUGACGUUAGCGGCGGACGGGUGAGUAACACGUGGAUAACCUACCUAUAAGACGGGGAUAACUUCGGGAAACCGGAGCUAAUACCGGAUAAUAUAUUGAACCGCAUGGUUCAAUAGUGAAAGACGGUUUUGCUGUCACUUAUAGAUGGAUCCGCGCCGCAUUAGCUAGUUGGUAAGGUAAAGGCUUACCAAGGCAACGAUGCGUAGCCGAACUGAGAGGGUGAUCGGCCACACUGGAGCUGAGACACGGUCCAGACUCCUACGGGAGGCAGCAGUAGGGAAUCUUCCGCAAUGGGCGAAAGCCUGACGGAGCAACGCCGCGUGAGUGAUGAAGGUCUUCGGAUCGUAAAACUGUGUUAUUAGGGAAGAACAAAUGUGUAAGUAACUAUGCACGUCUUGACGGUACCUAAUCAGAAAGCCACGGCUAACUACGUG
rnacentral:rRNA from 1 species